UGUUUGCUGAGAGAGUCAGAAACCACCUCCCAGCCCCGAGACAACAGUACUGCCAGAAACAACAUCCUUGGGGGAGCAAAGGAAGAAGGAGGGCAGAGAUAUUAUCUUUCAUGGCUGCAGGCAGAGCCCAGGUGCAACAGGAGCCGUUGGCACAAACCCCCGAGGGCACGGAAAUCACCAUCAACUGCUCACACCCGACCAUACGGACCAAUGACUAUAUCCACUGGUACCGUCAGCUUCGGGGCCGCGGCCCCGAAUUCCUCGUGAGCAUUCACAAAGGCUCCAAAGAGCUGCCGGACAAGGCGGGUCAGGUGUCGGUGUCGCCAGACCGUCGCUGGAGCACCCUCUGUCUCUCCGGGCCCCGUGUUGGGGACGCGGCGGUGUAUUACUGCGCCGUGGCAGACACGGCCAGAGGAGCCGGGGCUGCGGCCGGGCACGAACCGCCGCGGGCGGGGCCGGGCGGGGCCGGGGGCACAGCGCCGGCCGGGGCCAGCAGGGGCCGCUCCUGCACCUCCAAGAUUUCUUUCUCAAACCAUGUCCCGCCUUCCUGGGCCCCCUUGUUUCAAAGGGCUGCUUUCCAAGGGGCUUUCUGAAUCGGUGUCCUCAAC